UAUCAGUUGGUGUUUAUAAGAUACUAGUAUUUGUCCCUUUGUGUUUUGGUUUGUGGCUGCUUGUAAGAGAGUCUACUUGUGCAAACUUAGUUAUUGUUUUGGCCAACAAAGGAAAGAUUAGCAGAUGAGAACAUUUGUGCUUGCUGUGUUCUUUUAUGGUAACAGUUUUUGAUCAUUCGUAGCCUAUGUCUCGAUUACAAGCCUGAAAUUGAGAUAGAUAUAGUUUUUUUUUACCCUUUUUACCUCUGUAUCACAUCUUUAUAAUAGGACACUUCUAGGCCAUUGCUGAGUUUCAAAUACAUGUAGUAGAUAAAUCUCUAGAAAUAUUUUUGCAUAUUUUUUAAGUUUUGCAUUGGGACCAUAACUCAGAUUGUGACUAUAUUUGAUGUGUCUUAUGACUCUGGAUUCAUGUAUUGUCUUUAGAUAUCAAUCAUCAGUCAAACUUCAAAUAUUUGUAGCCUCUUAGGAUGAAUCCUCGUUUGCCAAUAAUAGAGCAAAUAUAUAUGUAUCUUUUGUGUAAUUGAUACACUAGAAAAGUCAACAUCUCUAGGUUUAAUGUUUAAUAUCCGAGACUGCUAAAGAAACAUGCCAUUGUUGAAUUGUAGGGAUUUGCAACCACGCUUUUCACUUCCACUGUAUCAGCAGAUGGCUCAAGAAUCAACAAAAGUGUCCACUUGAUAGCAGGGAGUGGGAAUUCCAGAAAUAUGGUCACUAAAGCUACACACCGCAUCAUUGGGUUCCUUCGAUUACCGUAAAUGAUUCUAAGACUCGCAGUUUUCUCUUAAAUUCAUCUGACCUGUUGUGGCUCUUCUCUUAGGAUGUCUUUGACCGCAGAUUAAACAAUUGUGUGCUUAAUCAAAACCUUUGUUGUUAUAAGACCAUCUCUGACCCGAACAUAAGUUUCAA